rnacentral:rRNA from 1 species
GACGAACGCUGGCGGCGUGCUUAACACAUGCAAGUCGAACGGUGAAGCUCCAGCUUGCUGGAGUGGAUCAGUGGCGAACGGGUGAGUAACACGUGAGCAACCUGCCCCUGACUCUGGAAUAAGCGCUGGAAACGGCGUCUAAUACUGGAUACGAGAAGGGUCCGCAUGAGCACUUUCUGGAAAGUUUUUCGGUUGGGGAUGGGCUCGCGGCCUAUCAGCUUGUUGGUGAGGUAAUGGCUCACCAAGGCGACGACGGGUAGCCGGCCUGAGAGGGCGACCGGCCACACUGGGACUGAGACACGGCCCAGACUCCUACGGGAGGCAGCAGUGGGGAAUAUUGCACAAUGGGCGAAAGCCUGAUGCAGCGACGCCACGUGAGGGAUGACGGCCUUCGGGUUGUAAACCUCUUUCAGCAGGGAAGAAGCGAAAGUGACGGUACCUGCAGAAGAAGCACCGGCUAACUACGUG